UUGUUGCAGUUAAAAAGCUCGUAGUUGGACUUUAGGCAAGGCGGCCUGGUCACCCUCUGGGUGUACUGGGAUCGCUGCGCCUCACCUUCGGGGAGCUAGUCGUGCUUCGGUGCGCUAGGGAACCGAGCCUUACCUUGAGGAAAUUAGAGUGUUUAAAGCAGGCUUAUGCUUGAAUACGUUAGCAUGGAAUAACAUGAUAGGACUUUGGUUCUAUUUUGUUGGUUUGAGGACCAAAGUAAUGAUUAAUAGGGACAGUUGGGGGCAUUAGUAUUCAAUAGUCAGAGGUGAAAUUCUUGGAUUUAUUGAAGACUAACUAAUGCGAAAGCAUUUGCCAAGGAUGUUUUCAUUAAUCAAGAACGAAAGUUAGGGGAUCGAAGACGAUUAGAUACCGUCGUAGUCUUAACCAUAAACUAUGCCGACUAGGGAUCGGUGGAAGUCGAUUUUGACUCCAUCGGCACCUUACGAGAAAUCAAAGUUUUUGGGUUCUGGGGGGAGUAUGGUCGCAAGGCUGAAACUUAAAGGAAUUGACGGAAGGGCACCACCAGGAGUGGAGCCUGCGGCUUAAUUUGACUCAACACGGGAAAACUCACCAGGUCCGGACAUGGGAAGGAUUGACAGAUUGAGAGC
rnacentral:rRNA from 1 species